rnacentral:pre_miRNA from 1 species
UCAGAGGGCCUGAUCUAAAGCCUACUGAAGUCAGCGGAAAUACUUCUGUUGACUUCAAUGGGCUUUGGAUCAGGCCCAGA